UACGAAGGGUGCAAACGUUGCUCGGAAUUAUUGGGCGUAAAGGGUUCGUAGGUGGCCUGCUAAGUCACACGUGAAAUCCCUCAGCUUAACUGGGGAACUGCGUGUGAGACUGGCGGGCUUGAGUGCAGGAGAGGAACGCGGAAUUCCAGGUGUAGCGGUGAAAUGCGUAGAUAUCUGGAGGAACACCGGUGGCGAAGGCGGCGUUCUGGACUGCUACUGACACUGAGGAACGAAAGCCAGGGGAGCAAACGGG
rnacentral:rRNA from 1 species